rnacentral:rRNA from 1 species
UACGUAGGCAGCAAGCGUUGUUCGGAGUUACUGGGCGUAAAGGGUGUGUAGGCGGUUGGAUAAGUGUGGUGUGAAAUCUCCCGGCUUAACUGGGAGGGUGCGCUACAAACUGUCUGACUAGAGUGUGGGAUGGGAAAGUGGAAUUCCUGGUGUAGCGGUGAAAUGCGUAGAUAUCAGGAGGAACACCGGUGGUGUAGACGGCUUUCUGGACCAUAACUGACGCUGAAACACGAAAGCGUGGGUAGCAAACAGG